GACGAACGCUGGCGGCGUGCCUAAUACAUGCAAGUUGAGCGCUGAAGGUUGGUACUUGUACCAACUGGAUGAGCAGCGAACGGGUGAGUAACGCGUGGGGAAUCUGCCUUUGAGCGGGGGACAACAUUUGGAAACGAAUGCUAAUACCGCAUAAAAACUUUAAACACAAGUUUUAAGUUUGAAAGAUGCAAUUGCAUCACUCAAAGAUGAUCCCGCGUUGUAUUAGCUAGUUGGUGAGGUAAAGGCUCACCAAGGCGAUGAUACAUAGCCGACCUGAGAGGGUGAUCGGCCAAAUUGGGACUGAGACACGGCCCAAACUCCUACGGGAGGCAGCAGUAGGGAAUCUUCGGCAAUGGACGAAAGUCUGACCGAGCAACGCCGCGUGAGUGAAGAAGGUUUUCGGAUCGUAAAACUCUGUUAGUAGAGAAGAACGUUGGUGAGAGUGGAAAGCUCAUCAAGUGACGGUAACUACCCAGAAAGGGACGGCUAAGUACGUG
rnacentral:rRNA from 1 species